GCCUUCGAAUUUGAUUCGACCACGCCUACGAAAAAGACACAAAUAAAACGGUGAAAGAUUAGUUUCAAAUCCCAAUAGGUUGUUCCCCUCGGCGGCGAAAUGUUCUUGACAGAAACUGGUUUCCAUUCGUGCUUUUUCUCAUUAUUGCAAAGUUUGCAUUUCAAGCAAGGGGUGGAUAAAGGUUAAAAUUUAGGAGCCAUACAUAAAAAAAAUAAAGUAAUUAAGAAAACAAACAAAAAAAUGCCGGAUUUAAAAAGAGAAAAAAAGGGGAACAAAACAAACAAACGUUACUACGACUUACUAUAUCCAGCAACGCUUUUGAGCCACUCGAGGAUGGGUGAAAGUCUUUCCGUCAAAACGACAAGCAUUGUGCAGGGUUAAAGUUGAAGCAAUACGAAACACUGUUUUCACAAAAUGCUGUAGUAACUAAAAAAAAAUUGAAAUAAAAAAUUUUUUUGAAUUAACAAACAAAAAA